rnacentral:rRNA from 1 species
UACGUAUGGUGCGAGCGUUAAUCGGAAUUACUGGGCGUAAAGUGUGCGCAGGCGGCCGCGCAAGUCGAGUGUGAAAGCCCCGGGCUUAACUUGGGAAUUGCGCUCGAAACUACGUGGCUGGAGUGUGGCAGAGGAAGGUGGAAUUCCAGGUGUAGCGGUGAAAUGCGUAGAGAUCUGGAGGAACACCGAUGGCGAAGGCAGCCUUCUGGGCCAACACUGACGCUCAUGCACGAAAGCGUGGGGAGCAAACAGG